rnacentral:rRNA from 1 species
GACGAACGCUGGCGGCGUGCUUAACACAUGCAAGUCGAACGGAAAGGCCCUGCUUUUGUGGGGUGCUCGAGUGGCGAACGGGUGAGUAACACGUGAGUAACCUGCCCUUGACUUUGGGAUAACUUCAGGAAACUGGGGCUAAUACCGGAUAGGAGCUCCUGCUGCAUGGUGGGGGUUGGAAAGUUUCGGCGGUUGGGGAUGGACUCGCGGCUUAUCAGCUUGUUGGUGGGGUAGUGGCUUACCAAGGCUUUGACGGGUAGCCGGCCUGAGAGGGUGACCGGCCACAUGGGGACUGCGAGACGGCCCAGACUCCUACGGGAGGCAGCAGUGGGGAGUAUUGCACAAUGGGCGGAAGCCUGAUGCAGCAACGCCGCGUGCGGGAUGACGGCCUUCGGGUUGUAAACCGCUUUCGCCUGUGACGAAGCGUGAGUGACGGUAAUGGGUAAAGAAGCACCGGCUAACUACGUG